GGCCGGCUGGCGCAAUGGUAGCGCGUCAGACUUCUACGUUCUCUCUACGAGACGUUGUUAUCUGAAGGCUGCGGGUUCGAGCCCCGCGUUGGUCA
rnacentral:tRNA from 1 species